rnacentral:rRNA from 1 species
UGUAAAGCACUUUCAGUGGGGAAGAAGGCUUGUCGGCCAAUACCCGGCAAGAGCGACAUCACCCACAGAAGAAGCACCGGCUAACUCCGUGCCAGCAGCCGCGGUAAUACGGAGGGUGCAAGCGUUAAUCGGAAUUACUGGGCGUAAAGCGCGCGUAGGCGGCUUGUCACGCCGGGUGUGAAAGCCCCGGGCUCAACCUGGGAACGGCAUCCGGAACGGGCAGGCUAGAGUGCAGGAGAGGAAGGUAGAAUUCCCGGUGUAGCGGUGAAAUGCGUAGAGAUCGGGAGGAAUACCAGUGGCGAAGGCGGCCUUCUGGACUGACACUGACGCUGAGGUGCGAAAGCGUGGGUAGCAAACAGGAUUAGAUACCCUGGUAGUCCACGCCGUAAACGAUGUCGACUAGCCGUUGGGUCCCUUGAGGACUUAGUGGCGCAGUUAACGCGAUAAGUCGACCGCCUGGGGAGUACGGCCGCAAGGUUAAAACUCAAAUGAAUUGACGGGGGCCCGCACAAGCGGUGGAGCAUGUGGUUUAAUUCGAUGCAACGCGAAGAACCUUACCUACCCUUGACAUCCUGCGAACCCGGAAGAGAUUCCGGGGUGCCUUCGGGAGCGCAGAGACAGGUGCUGCAUGGCUGUCGUCAGCUCGUGUUGUGAAAUGUUGGGUUAAGUCCCGUAACGAGCGCAACCCUUGUCCCUAUUUGCCAGCGAUUCGGUCGGGAACUCUAGGGAGACUGCCGGUGACAAACCGGAGGAAGGUGGGG